rnacentral:rRNA from 1 species
UACGUAGGGUGCAAGCGUUAAUCGGAAUUACUGGGCGUAAAGCGUGCGCAGGCGGUUCUAUAAGACAGAUGUGAAAUCCCCGGGCUUAACCUGGGAACUGCAUUUGGGACUGCAAGGCUCGAGUACGGCAGAGGGAGGUGGAAUUCCACGUGUAGCAGUGAAAUGCGUAGAGAUGUGGAGGAACACCGAUGGCGAAGGCAGCCUCCUGGGCCAGUACUGACGCUCAUGCACGAAAGCGUGGGGAGCAAACAGG